rnacentral:siRNA from 1 species
GAAAGCUCCACAAGGUCUUACGCC